CAAAAAAAACUCUCUCGAAAUGGCCAUUGCCACCUUCUCCACACCACACGCGUCUACGCUCUUCAGUCACCAACCACCACCAAUAUCACUGCAACAACUUUGCUACAACCACUCGCUGUAUUGCCAUCCCAACUUCUAAACUCUCUACAACUACUACUCCCUCUCUCGUUUGGACCACCACUGCUUCUCGUUUAAAAAAUUUCCAACAACCAUCGUUUUUUCCUCUGGUGAAGGUGCUGGCGUAGUUGGUGGAGGAGGGAGUACUGGUGGUGGAGGAAAUGGGAAUGAUGCUGCUGGUGAUGCUGGUUCCCGCAAGCGGAACGAGGCCAUUCUUGCAUUGGCAGAGGCGGGGAGAUCGUUAGAGAGCUUGCCGAAGGAUUUGGCAGCGGCAAUUGAGGCAGGGAGGGUGCUAGGUUCCAUUGCUAGUCACCAGUAUUUAGGCGGUUGCUUCAAUUUGGAGGGUUUAAAGAAAGGCUGCUUGCUGACUAAGGUUGCCAUAGAGUGUGGUGUUGGGAUCUUUACCAUGGCUAAAUCUCUCAAGAUUUCAUCAUGAACCACUACAAUUACAUAUAUUCCUUUUCUUCAAUUAUUUAUAACUGGCAAGAAUGAAUGGAAGUUUCUCAUGAGGGGUUCACUGAAUUCUGAAUGCCUGGUGAGAUCAAUUAGAUUGGUUGUUGCUUGUGUAACUACAAGUCAACUACUAGAAUGGGGUUAUCUUUUUUUAUUUUUAAAAAUGUCUGAUCAUCUGAUGAUUUGUCAUGAUUCUAAGAUCAUUUUAUUUAUGUGCCAUGUUUUCAACUAGAUGUUAGAUUAUCUCACAAUCUUCCUGUUCUGUUUCAAUAUACAUUAUGUCUGCUGGAUUUGUGGGGAAUGGUUUUUUAAAACUUUGUUGUUUUUGAUAAGCUGUGGGAAUCUGAUGAGGAGAUACAUUAAGUGAACGGUAUGAACAUACGAGUCUUGUAUAAACCUUCUUUCUGCUGGUGUUUUGAAUCAGCCUGGUAUGUUAUGACGUGAUUGAAUUUCUGAAGUUAGAACUAAGACGGUGGCUUGAUUUUGUGUGCAGCUAAUAUAUACACUGAUAGCACACAAUUUAUCUGGAGGGAUCGUCAUUCUAGAUUCUAGAGAUUAUUGUGCUGAUACUGUAAUGCAAAUUUUUUUCUGUAAUGAGAUUUCCAGGCUAAUAUUUUA